GCGCCGUAUGGUCGAGGGUGACGCGCCGAUGAGAUCGAUGAGUUCCUGAACGCCGACGGUUCCUUCCCGUUUAAGGCAUUC
rnacentral:tRNA from 1 species